ACAGGGCGCGGUGGCGCGUGCCUGUGGUCCCAGCUACUCUGGAGGCUGAGGCUGGACGAUCUCUUGAGUCCAGGAGUUCUGGGCUGUAGUGCGCUAUGCCGAUCUGGUGUCCGCACUAAGUUUGACAUGAAUAUGGUGACCUCCUGGGAGCGGAGGACCGCCAGGUUGCCUAAGGAGGGGUGAACCGGUCCAGGUCGGAUACGGAGCAGGUCAAAACUCCGGUGCUGAUCAGUAACCACUCCUGUGGUUAGGAGUGGGUCCCCUUGAAGGAAGUAGAUAUGGUUAACGUCA
rnacentral:SRP_RNA from 1 species